AUGGCGUUCGCCGAUGAGUACAAGGACAUGGAGGCCCACAGCAACACCAAGUUGCACGUCAUCCACACCAACGACAAGAAGCAGGUGGCGAUCACCCUCGCGCAGUACGAGCGCCACCUCAGCCUCCAGCGCCACAAGAUUGUCGGCAUUGAUCUCGAGGACAACAACGAGCCUAAAGCGACGCAGAAACCCGCCCUCUGCCAACUCUCCAUCGGCAAGAAACACCCGGUGCUGGUCUUCCAACUGAGCGCCGCUGAAAGGUGCACCCUCUUCGACAACUUCCUUGCCAACCCUAGGUACACCUUUGCAGGCUUCUCCAUCGACGGCGACAAAAAAGGCUAG
rnacentral:rRNA from 1 species